rnacentral:rRNA from 1 species
GACGAACGCUGGCGGCGUGCUUAACACAUGCAAGUCGAACGGAAAGGCCCUGCUCUUGUGGGGUGCUCGAGUGGCGAACGGGUGAGUAACACGUGAGUAACCUGCCCUUGACUUUGGGAUAACUUCAGGAAACUGGGGCUAAUACCGGAUAGGAGCUCCUGCUGCAUGGUGGGGGUUGGAAAGUUUCGGCGGUUGGGGAUGGACUCGCGGCUUAUCAGCUUGUUGGUGGGGUAGUGGCUUACCAAGGCUUUGACGGGUAGCCGGCCUGAGAGGGUGACCGGCCACAUUGGGACUGAGAUACGGACCAGACUCCUACGGGAGGCAGCAGUGGGGAAUAUUGCACAAUGGGCGGAAGCCUGAUGCAGCAACGCCGCGUGCGGGAUGACGGCCUUCGGGUUGUAAACCGCUUUCGCCUGUGACGAAGCGUGAGUGACGGUAAGGGGUAAAGAAGCACCGGCUAACUACGUG